AAAAGUUCUAUAAACACA
rnacentral:tRNA from 1 species